CACAAGCGGCGACUCUCCUGGGUCAGAGGUGGCGUGGCGGCGUGGAGAGGCUGCGAAUCAAUCCUCUCUCUUUGGAACGGCGGUGGCGGGCGACUGCAUCCUCGGCGCUAGCGGGGAAUCAGCUUCCACUUGUGUGCUAAGCAGACCAGAUCAAUAAAGAGAUGAAGAGCAAAGGCACGUUGGUUCGCAGAGCGCUUGUUCAUCCUGGAUAUUAUCACCAAACAGAAGGAUGCAAUUGUGAGUCCCCACCUGCUAUUGGACCCUGAAUCCUUUGUUUUUUGCAACCAAUGAUUUCCACCUGCUAUUGUUGUAUGCAUAUUGCUUCUGAUUUGCAAGGUCCUCAGUAUCUGUUGAUUGUCUGCCAAACAAUAGUGAAUGCCCACUCUGAAAACUUGUUUUUCUUUUUGGUUAGAUGAUGCAUGAUCACUUUAAUUUUUCUCCUACAGUUUCAGGAAGGUGGGGUGGUGCUUUUUUUCUUCUUCUGUAGAGCAAGCACAUCUAUAGACUUCCAUUGCUUGAUGUUGCUUUGUUAAUAGGACACCCCACACUCGUUCUAAUGAACAAAUGUUAAUACUUCUAUAUAACCAUGCUUAUGCCUACUAUUUGUGAUACUUUAAGGACUACUUGUGUACGAUUGAGUUCCUUGUUCUAUUUCCAAUCACUAGCAAUUCAGUUCUGACCAUGUAUUGUUGCAAUCUAUUUAUGUUUUGAAUUAUUUGCUAACAAUUUAGGGACGGUCCCCUGCUUUAUCUUGAUUCUUUCAUGUACCUGGGUAAUUAGAGUCGUCUUUUCUGAUUUUAUUGUUUUGCUUCACAUGUACCCGGAGCUGCAAAAAUGCCUCUUCUGUGAACCCGGUCAUGAGAAGAAAUUUAUUUGAAAACAAAAUAAGGAGGAGAGAACAAAUAAUCCUGAUGUGCAACUGUUUUUAGUACCUAUGCAAUCGGUGUGCUUGAUGUGUUGCUGGUUGACCAUACAAGCACUAACAUUUGGAUAUCAUCUUCGAUGUCAGCAGAGAAGCACUGCAUUUGUUUGGUCGUCUGAACAUGACGGCAGUAUCAAGCUCUUUGUUUGGACAUCACACAUGUAUGUGCCUCUACUCCAUCUUCACAUCACAUGUAUAUUGCCAUUGAAUCCAACAUAGAGAUGCUAUUUAUUUAUUAUUAGUUCAUCAAAUGGUUUAAGAUGCUCUUGAUUUUAUACAUAAAAGCUGGUUUCUUGUUUGUUCAUCAAAUAGUCUAAGAUGCUCUUAAUUUGAAUGUUUGAUGGAUUAAAAUCAUUUGCAUCGAAAACUUAGCCCUAAAUACCAUGUGGACUUCACAAUAGUGACCGUGAGAGGUAAAGUGAGACAACUGGAACAUUGGGUUCGAUUGUACUUUAGAGGUGUCAUAUUAUAAUAGUGAGUAGCGGCAACCAAUGAUUUAGUACCAGUCUGUCCAAAUUACAUUUGAGUUAGCUGACAAUAAUUUUUACAUUGUUGCUCUGUCCUUGAUUGACCAUUGCAUGUCCUAAUGCAACUUAGAUUAUUUUGAUCCUUUUUAAGUUGGAAUUUUUAUAGUAGCCGAUUUUGCAACGGGAGGGCGGCGCCGCACUCACUGCACCUCUGUAUGGACGGGCCAUAAUAAUGGGAUUUUGUUACGACUGCAACAGAGACCUUGUUCCAGAAGGAAAAAAAAAUGGUUCAAGGAUAUUGCAACAAAGCUCCUGUUGCAGAGGGCCGAUCACAACACUAGCCUUGUUGCCAAGGCUAGCUCAUGUGGGAGAGAUCGGACGG